GAGUUUGAUCGUGGCUCAGGAUGAACGCUGGCGGCGUGCCUAACACAUGCAAGUCGAACGGAUCCAUAUUGAAACCUAGUGAUGUAUGGAUUAGUGGCGGACGGGUGAGUAACGCGUGGAUAACCUGCCGUAUACAGGGGAUAACACUUAGAAAUAGGUGCUAAUACCGCAUAAGCGCACGGUUCCGCAUGGAACAGUGUGAAAAACUCCGGUGGUAUACGAUGGAUCCGCGUCUGAUUAGCCAGUUGGCGGGGUAACGGCCCACCAAAGCGACGAUCAGUAGCCGGCCUGAGAGGGUGAACGGCCACAUUGGGACUGAGACACGGCCCAAACUCCUACGGGAGGCAGCAGUGGGGAAUAUUGCACAAUGGGGGAAACCCUGAUGCAGCGACGCCGCGUGAGCGAUGAAGUAUUUCGGUAUGUAAAGCUCUAUCAGCAGGGAAGAAAAUGACGGUACCUGACUAAGAAGCCCCGGCUAACUACGUGCCAGCCGCCG
rnacentral:rRNA from 1 species